ensembl:lncRNA IGF2-AS IGF2 antisense RNA
AUGAGCAAACGAAAGUGGCGCGGAUUUCGGGGCGCCCAGCAGGAGCGAGCGCAGCCGCCAGCCGCAAGUCCGCAGCCGUGUCCCGCGCCCCACGCCGGCCUCCCCGGCGGCAGCCGGAGACGAGCGCCAGCACCGGCGGGACAGCAGCAGAUGCGGGCCGAGAGCCGGUCAGGGGCGCAGAGGCGGAGGGGAUCGGCGCGGCGGGGAGCUCACCGCGAAGCUGGAGGCUGCGUCCGCGGGCGCACCAGGAGCUCAGGCAGCGAGCGAUCGAACGCUCUGUGGCAGGCGGUGGACGCUGCUGAAGCUCUGGCUCUGAGCUCACCGCUCCGCCGUCCGUGGGACCAAGCCCAGCAUUUUACAAACCCAGCUCCUUUCUCCAAGGGUCCUCAGAGCGCCCCUCCGUCACCCCCUGCAGGGCGCCGCAGACGAGGCGCUGACCUUGCGCUCACUCCCCUCGCUGGGGAAGGACACACUCGCUGGCGUCAGCCCGGCCGGCCUGGGAAGUAGGACUAAGGACCCGAACUGCAACCCUCCACACCAGACAGCACAGACCACCCCAAGGCUGCUCAAUCUGCCCAAAGCCAAAAGUACGUGGGGGAUAUGGGUCCAGGUUGGGGUGCUUGGGAGAGGGCCCUGGGAGAGGGGUUCAGACGGUGCACACUCCAAAGGACUGAGGCGGCGCCACUGUGUUACCAUUUUAUUGAGUGUCUAAGGUAAAGACACCUUUGAAAGAACACUCCCGGCUUCUAUCUGGGAUGGGCAAAUCAGCCUGAAGAGUCACCUGCUGGAUCCCUCCCUGCAGGCCCUGUCGUGGGGCAGGUACAGGGACUCCAAUCCAUGUGCCUCCAGCUCCAACGCUCCCCAAGUCCUGGAGCCUCCCCUGUCACCCCAGUGCCUGACCAGUGAAUGGGUGCUGCCCCCACUACAGAGCUCCCUCUGGCUGAGGCAGAGGCCACUGGCUGGGCCUUUCUAGCCACCUUUCACCCCUCUUGCACACGGGAAGCCCCGCAGGCUCCUGACCACAAUGGGAUCCUGACGCCGGAGCCCCUUAGGCCCUUUGCUCAGAAGGCCUCUGGUUAUUACCUCAAUUCUGAACAGCCAGGAGGCCUGAGACUGUCACCCACUUUGAUAAAUACAGACCGACAGAAAGGUCAGGCCAUUGGUGCAAGACCCCAUGGCCAGCAGCCUGGGGCGGGGAGAACCCGGGGGUCUCACAGCCCCCAGCAGAGCCCAGCUUUCCUUGGGUUUUUAGGUUCUUCCCCAAUGAUAUUUUCCCUUUUUCCCUCUCUACCCACUUUCUGCCCCCCAUCUUCUCCCCUUUGGCUGCCCGCUCUCUCCCUGCCCCUCUCCCCUUCUUUGCCCUCUUUCGUCUCCCAGGAGCUCCCCUGCCAGGACCUCGGUGCCGUGGAGACUGCGGGGAACCUGCUCUGCCCACACCUGCUCUGGCCCCUAGACGGAAGCACCUGGAGCCAACCACGGAACUCCAGAUCCCAGCUGUGUGACUGAAUCCACGCCAGCCUCUCUGAGCCAAAGCUGCUUGCAGAAGGGGGAGAUCCCAGUUCGAAGACUCCCGCGCAGAGCCUGUGGCCCUCUCUGCCAGGCCUCAGGGUGCCUGAGACACUCACCUCUCUGCCUCGCAGUUGGGGCUGAGGCUGGGGCUGGCUGCCAGCCUCAGUUCUGGGAGCGCUGGGGUCGCCUGGGCCACAGGCCACAGCAGCUCACCUCAGGACUGGGCUCUCUGGCCUGCUGGGGCUCAGGCUGUGGGGCAGGCUGGGCAGGGGGCUGAGCUGGCAGCGAUUCAGAGCCCUGGGGCUGGGGGCUGGAAUCCACCUCCUCCCACACAAGCUCGGUGGUGACUCUUCGGCCC